AGGCGCCUCCGAUAUUUUCUUUAAUGUGACCCAUAGAAAUUCUGAACUGUUCCUUGUCCUUGAACCUUGAUCUUUUUCGACCAAUAGCAGUGCAUUUGUUGCAUCUGCCCAGUGGAGUAGUGGACGAACUACAUUUAAAUUUGUAUAGGAGCUCUUUACCUAAAUUAUUAUACCUUAAGUAUUAAAUGGCCAAUUUUCAUUUAAGCGAUAAGAUGAAUUGUAAUCAGUGAUUAGCAUGAAAAU